CCCGAAUUGGUGUAGUGGUCAACACGUGACGUUCUCAUACUGUAUGAUUCGUCAAGCCCGAGGUUCGAUUCCUUGAUUUGGUC